rnacentral:rRNA from 1 species
GAUGAACGCUGGCGGCGUGCCUAAUACAUGCAAGUCGAGCGAACAGAUGAGGAGCUUGCUCCUCUGACGUUAGCGGCGGACGGGUGAGUAACACGUGGAUAACCUACCUAUAAGACUGGGAUAAAUUCGGGAAACCGGAGCUAAUACCGGAUAAUAUAUUGAACCGCAUGGUUCAAUAGUGAAAGCCGGAUUUGAUGUCACUUAUAGAUGGAUCCGCGCCGCAUUAGCUAGUUGGUAAGGUAACGGCUUACCAAGGCAACGAUGCGUAGCCGACCUGAGAGGGUGAUCGGCCACACUGGAACUGAGACACGGUCCAGACUCCUACGGGAGGCAGCAGUAGGGAAUCUUCCGCAAUGGGCGAAAGCCUGACGGAGCAACGCCGCGUGAGUGAUGAAGGUCUUCGGAUCGUAAAACUCUGUUAUUAGGGAAGAACAAAUGUGUAAGUAACUAUGCACGUCUUGACGGUACCUAAUCAGAAAGCCACGGCUAACUACGUG